GAACCGUACAAACGUUAUUCGGGAAUCACUGGGGCUUAAAGGGUGCGUAGGCGGCGGCGCAAGGUUGGGUGUGAAAUCCCUCGGGCUCAACCGAGGGAAUGGCGCCCAAAACUGCGCUGCUCGAGGGAGACAGAGGUGAGCGGAACUUGCGGUGGAGCGGUGAAAUGCGUUGAGAUCGCAAGGAACACCAGUGGCGAAAGCGGCUCACUGGGUCUCUUCUGACGCUGAGGCACGAAAGCUAGGGGAGCGAACGGGAUUAGAUACCCCGGUAGUCCUAGCUGUAAACGAUGAGCACUGGGUCGGAGGAUCCUCCAUAGUUUCCGGCCGUAGCGAAAGUGUUAAGUGCUCCGCCUGGGGAGUAUGGUCGCAAGGCUG
rnacentral:rRNA from 1 species